GAGGAUUUGGCUUUCCAUAUGUGGAGGAAAAUAUCAAUUAGCCAUUCUUCUCUUUUUCCUUCUUUCUAAACAGAUGUCUUUAAAAUAUAGCCGGAACCACCACCAUCAAAUCUUCUUCUAGUAGAUUCAAGAUAUUUCUCACACAGUAGAAGGCAAUUCCUUUCUGUUUUCUGUUUUUUUCUUUUUCUUUUUGAUUUUUUAUGUAUUUUGUACGGCUAUCUCACUGGUGCGACGGGAAAGCAUUUCCACGGAGAAAUUCGACAAAACUAUGUAUCUAGCAAGAUGUAAUCAAGAAGGCAAAGGGAAUGAAAGAUAAGAACACUCAUAGGGUUAAGAAGUUGAAUAUCUUGAAUUAAAAAAUGGUAAUCAAGACAGCUAAUCCUUCAAAGUAAGUGAUGAUCGACUUCAACUCAAAGAAUAGAUUCCAGAUCUAGAGCAACAAUGAGGAUUGGAAAUAAAAUUUUGUUGUAUUGUUGAGAGAAACCAGUUUAGUUCUAAAAUGUAUAACAAUUUGGUUUAACAACGUGGAAAAUCUGUAAGGAUUUUUUAUUUAAAUUGUAUUUUUUUU